AUUGAACGCUGGCGGCAGGCCUAACACAUGCAAGUCGAGCGAGCGGCGGACGGGUGAGUAAUGUCUGGGAAACUGCCUGAUGGAGGGGGUUAACUACUGGAAACGGUAGCUAAUACCGCAUACCAUCAGAUGUGCCCCGAGGGGCUUAGCUAGUAGGUGGGGUAACGGCUCACCUAGGCGACGAUCCCUAGCUGGUCUGAGAGGAUGACCAGACACACGGGAACUGAGACACGGGCCAGACGCCUACGGGAGUCAGCGGGGGAGAAGAUUGCGAAAUGGGAGCAAGCCUGAUGCAGCCAUGCCGCGGGUAUGAAGAAGGCCUUCGGGUUGUAAAGUACUAUAAGCUGUGAGGCGUUACCCGCAGAAGAAGCACCGGCUAACUCCGUGCCAGCAGCCGCGGUAAUUC
rnacentral:rRNA from 1 species